rnacentral:misc_RNA from 1 species
GGAUUACUAGCCGAAAGACGCAGAUUGUAUACGUGGAGAUAACAGCUGUAAAACAGACUUAAGAAACUUCAAAAUCUUGUUUAUAGGGCUCUACAUUCCUGCAACUCAACACAGACGAUGCUUUGAGACUAAUCUAGAAGUAGAAGAAGAAAAAAGAUUAUAAAAAUGUAUUCAAUGCUUAACUGUGCUGUGGCGUUUCAGACUCUUUGCGCUGUCUGUGUUCUAAGUCACAAACCCAUUGUAAAGACAUCAAAAGGAUCAGUUCGAGGAUUCGCCAAGAAUGUCAAUGGCGUCCAUAUGUCUAUCUUUCUGGGCAUUCCAUACGCAAAACCUCCCACGGAGAUGCUCAGAUUCAAGCCUCCGGAAUCACCCGACAGCUGGAAUUCCUCUGGUAUCAUGAACGCGACUCUUUCGAAACCUUCCUGUCCCCAGAACAAGGACGGACUCUCAAACGCGUUCGGGCCAGGCUUUGAAAUUACGGAAACGAACGAAGACUGUCUGUAUCUAAAUAUCUUUGUUCCAGGGACAUCGAGAAAUUCCCAGUUCGGUUCUUGGGCUGUGGUAGUGUUUCUACACGGCGGGGAUUUCCAAAUGGGAUCCGGGACACUCUACGAUGGCACUGUUUUAGCGUCAUAUGGAAACGUGAUUGUCGUCACGAUGAACUUCCGUAUCGGGGUUCUGGGUUUUCUAUCAACAGAAGACCCGGCUGCCCCCGGUAACUGGGGUUUGUUAGAUCAAAGGUUGGCUCUGCAGUGGAUACAAGACAACAUACACGGAUUUGGGGGAGCUAGAAAGAAGGUGACGAUUUUCGGGCAUGGGUCCGGAGCUUACAGUGUCGGACUACACAUUCUGAGUCCGAUGUCACGUGGUCUGUUCGCACGAGCUAUAUCUCUGGGCGGGGCAAUAGCCUCACCGGCUCUGUUGAACACAGAUCUUAGAAUGAGGGUCAGACAUUUGGCGAUGAUGGUCGACUGUCCGUCUGUGAUAAAAGACGAGGUCUCGUCGGAGAAGGUCGUGUCCUGUCUGAGGAAAGUUCCAGUUCCAGAUCUCAUCAGACACGACCAGCACUCUGACGGAGCAUUUACGCCAACGGUUGACAACCAUUUCAUACUACGUGACCCAGUCACCAUAUUGAAAUCCACAAACUUUACUGCUGUAGACUACAUCAUUGGUGGAAACGCAGACGAAGGGACAAAUAUUGCUAACAAUAUACAAAACUUUUUCACUGGUCCUGGAAUGAGUCAGUCGGAUUUUGACAAAUAUACAUCCAGCAUCUCAUCCUUAGCACUUAAAAAGCCAAUACCAAAAAUUGUUGAACCAACAUUAGCAGCAAUGAUCUCGUCAAAGUAUUAUCCAAGGGAGGUAAAUCAUGGCAACUUCCGAAGAUCCUAUUUGGAUGCUUUAGGAGAUGUUAUGAACAGCAAGAUAUUUGAGACUGGAAUGUAUUACUCGAAGAGGGGGAAAGUUUUCGUCUAUCAGUUCACACACAAGCCAUCGCACGCUCGUUUCCCUAGUUACGUGGGGCCGGGCCACACCGAGGAACUUCCGUUCAUCUUCGGUUACAUUUUGAAGAACGGAACAGACAACGAGAAGAAGCUGUCAGCGGAUUGGAUGAAAACCUGGGGAGACUUUGCCAGGACAGGGAAUCCCAAUUUCAACAACGGCAGUCUCGUCUGGACGCCCUAUGGCUCCCCAUCGCGGAGUUAUUUACAAAUAACGGUGAACAUGACGAACCAAAAUAUCAACAGCGAGUGGAAACCUGGCGCCAGGAGAUUUUGGAACGAGGCUGUACCGGAAGUCGCCAAGCUGACGAGGAGUACUCCCAAAAUGCCUGUCAUGAAAUGUAAUUCACAUCUAUCCAUUGGGACGUUUAUCUCUUCCGUCGGGCUAUUUAGUACAAACCGAUCAAAACGUAGUAAAUAAUAAACCAAGCAACAUAUGAACUGGAAGGUACUGCAUUUUGCUGUGUUCACGAUUACUCAGAGCGCUCUGUGCGAUCAUCUUGCAACGAUCUGCGACGUUAUGUGACCAUAGACACAUUUUAUGGUAACCAUGAAGAUAAUUUGAACUGGGGAUUAUCUGCUAAUGCG